rfam:Dipodomys ordii contig_3187, whole genome shotgun sequence.
UGGGAUGUGGCUUAGUGGUAGAGUGCUUGCCUAGCAUGCAUGAAGCCCUGGGUUCGACUCCUAAGUACCAC